rnacentral:rRNA from 1 species
GAUGAACGCCGGCGGCGUGCCUAAUACAUGCAAGUCGAGCGAACGGACGAGAAGCUUGCUUCUCUGAUGUUAGCGGCGGACGGGUGAGUAACACGUGGAUAACCUACCUAUAAGACUGGGAUAACUUCGGGAAACCAGAGCUAAUACCGGAUAAUAUUUUGAACCGCAUGGUUCAAAAGUGAAAGACGGUCUUGCUGUCACUUAUAGAUGGAUCCGCGCUGCAUUAGCUAGUUGGUAAGGUAACGGCUUACCAAGGCAACGAUGCAUAGCCGACCUGAGAGGGUGAUCGGCCACACUGGAACUGAGACACGGUCCAGACUCCUACGGGAGGCAGCAGUAGGGAAUCUUCCGCAAUGGGCGAAAGCCUGACGGAGCAACGCCGCGUGAGUGAUGAAGGUCUUCGGAUCGUAAAACUCUGUUAUUAGGGAAGAACAUAUGUGUAAGUAACUGUGCACAUCUUGACGGUACCUAAUCAGAAAGCCACGGCUAACUACGUG